AGUUUGACUCCGUGGCUCGAGGACGAACGCUGGCGGCGUGCUUAACACAUGCAAGUCGAACGGUGAAGGGAAGCUUGCUUCCCGGAUCAGUGGCGAACGGGUGAGUAACACGUGGGCAAUCUGCCCCAGACUUUGGGAUAACUACUCGAAAGAGUAGCUAAUACCGAAUAUUCAGCCUUGCAGGCAUCUGCGAGGCUGGAAAGUUUCUCGGUCUGGGAUGAGCCCGCGGCCUAUCAGCUAGUUGGUGAGGUAAUGGGCUCACCAAGGCGACGACGGGUAGCCGGCCUGAGAGGGCGACCGGCCACACUGGGACUGAGACACGGCCCAGACUCCUACGGGAGGCAGCAGUGGGGAAUAUUGCGCAAUGGGCGAAAGCCUGACGCAGCAACGCCGCGUGCGGGAUGAAGGCCUUCGGGUUGUAAACCGCUUUCAGCAGGGAAGAAGCGAAAGUGACGGUACCUGCAGAAGAAGCACCGGCUAACUACGUG
rnacentral:rRNA from 1 species